rnacentral:tRNA from 1 species
GGGGAUAUAGCUCAGUUGGUAGAGUGCUUGCCUUUCAUGCACAAGGCCCUGGGUUCAAUCCCCAGCACCACCA